AUGGCGACAAAGGGCGACAGUCUUCUGAUGCCACACCAAAGAUGGCGGCUCGGCGCGCCACUCCUUGUCCUUCCAGAUGGCGACAUGGUGCGCAUGCGCCUUAGGCAGGGGAAAAUGGCGGCCCGGAAGCACCGUGCUGCUUCCGUUCGGCUGAAUGAACGCGGCGCCGGCGCCGUUCCAGCGCUUUCAGCGCGGUUUUUUGUGGCGUUUCCCGAUGUGCGAAUACGGGUUGUGGGGCCAGCAGAGCCGGGAGCAGCCAGCAGGAUGCAGUUUCGCGGGAGCAAUGUGGCACAAAUUCCAGUGAUGGGAAGAGGCUGGAAGAAGCUGGAUUUCAGACAGGAGGCCAUGGAUUAUGCACCAGUGAAGGAGCUGCUGAACAUGAAAGGCAUCAGUGAAAAGUGAAACCAAAGCUGACAAAAUCCCAGUCUCCAAAGGGCAGUAAAGGUGAUUGGAGUUGUGACAUGACUUGUGAUGGGAAAAAUGCACCAGGACAAGACUGAACUGAAGAGAAGGAUAUUUCUAUAGAACACACGAAAGGGAUGUUGGAGAUUUUUAUUGGAACAGAAUUUCAGUUCUGUGCAGAGGUAUCAACUCAUGCAAGGUCUGUGAAAUAUGCAUGGAAUAAUACAGGCACCUCUCCACGAGGCAGGAAAUAUUAAUUACUGGGGGUUAAUGAAUGGCGUGAGCUCUCCUGACACUGCUCAGUUGAGUUUUCCCUCAGGCUGAGGCAGCCAAACUGUUCCCAUGGGCUUCACCACGGCCACAGAAUUCCACCAGCAAUGGUCAGAGCUCAUCCAGAUCACCACUGGCUCCAAAGAGCUGGACAAGCUGCUUCAAGGUCAGCAUUUUAUUAUUUCUUUUUCCUGCUUAAGCUCAGUUAUUGGGGUGGGAUUUUCCCAUGAGUUUGAUCUUUGUAUGGAACCACGUAAAACAAGUCUUGGUUGGAUGAAAGACUUCCAGGCUGCUCUUGAAUAAUUGCUUUUAUUUUAAAAGCUGCAGAACUAGUCUUUAAUUCUUUUAGUCAUGAUGCAAGAGCCAGAGCUGUCCAUUUGUGGAUGUUUCUGGUUUAUUUAAGUCUGUGAUGUGUUUAGGGAAAACAAAACCAGGCAUCACCAUCUCCCCAUUCCUUUGGUAAACCAAAAAUUAAAACAAGUAAUUUCAGCUCUUCAGCAUCUUCAGAAACACACCUGAACUUCUUGUCCACAUGAACAAAUCUCAGGAUGACAAGAAGUCUUCCCUCUUAGUUUUGAAACUUUCAGCCAAAUUCA
rnacentral:lncRNA from 1 species